UACGUAGGGUGCAAGCGUUUAAUCGGAAUUACUGGGCGUAAAGCGUGCGCAGGCGGUUGUGCAAGACCGAUGUGAAAUCCCCGGGCUUAACCUGGGAAUGGCAUUGGUGACUGCACGGCUAGAGUGUGUCAGAGGGGGGUAGAAUUCCACGUGUAGCAGUGAAAUGCGUAGAGAUGUGGAGGAAUACCGAUGGCGAAGGCAGCCCCCUGGGAUAACACUGACGCUCAUGCAACGAAAAGCGUGGGGGAG
rnacentral:rRNA from 1 species